rnacentral:rRNA from 1 species
AUUGAACGCUGGCGGCAGGCCUAACACAUGCAAGUCGAACGAGUGGCGGACGGGUGAGUAAUGUCUGGGAAACUGCCUGAUGGAGGGGGAUAACUACUGGAAACGGUAGCUAAUACCGCAUACCAUCGGAUGUGCCCAGAUGGGAUUAGCUCGUAGGUGGGGUAAAGGCUAACCUAGGCGACGAUCCCUAGCUGUGCUGAGAGGAUAACCAGCCACACGGGAACUGAGACACGGUCCCGAAUCCUACGGGAGGCAGCAGUGGGGAAUAUUGCAAAAUGGGCGCAAGCCUGAUGCAGCCAUGCCGCAGGUAUGAAGAAGGCCUUCGGGUUGUAAAGUACUUUGAGCGGGGAGGCGUUACCCGCAGAAGAAGCACCGGCUAACUACGUGCCAGCAGCCGCGGUAAUUC